UACGUAGGGUGCGAGCGUUAAUCGGAAUUACUGGGCGUAAAGCGUGCGCAGGCGGCUUUGCAAGACAGAUGUGAAAUCCCCGGGCUCAACCUGGGAAUUGCAUUUGAAACUGGGAAACUAGAGUGUGUGAGAGGGGGAUGGAAUUCCGCGUGUAGCAGUGAAAUGCGUAGAUAUGCGGAGGAACACCAAUGGCGAAGGCAAUCCCCUGGGCCUGUACUGACGCUCAUGCACGAAAGCGUGGGGAGCAAACAGG
rnacentral:rRNA from 1 species